AACGAACGCUGGCGGCAUGCCUUACACAUGCAAGUCGAACGAAGUCUUCGGACUUAGUGGCGGACGGGUGAGUAACACGUGGGAACGUGCCUUUAGGUUCGGAAUAACUCAGGGAAACUUGUGCUAAUACCGAAUGUGCCCUUCGGGGGAAAGAUUUAUCGCCUUUAGAGCGGCCCGCGUCUGAUUAGCUAGUUGGUGAGGUAAAGGCUCACCAAGGCGACGAUCAGUAGCUGGUCUGAGAGGAUGAUCAGCCACAUUGGGACUGAGACACGGCCCAAACUCCAACGGGAGGCAGCAGUGGGGAAUCUUGCGCAAUGGGCGAAAGCCUGACGCAGCCAUGCCGCGUGAAUGAUGAAGGUCUUAGGAUUGUAAAAUUCUUUCACCGGGGACGAUAAUGACGGUACCUGAAGAAUAAGCACCGGCUAACUACGUGCCAGCCGCCGCAGUAACAC
rnacentral:rRNA from 1 species